rnacentral:rRNA from 1 species
GGCGGCUUCGGCUGUCACUUAUGGCUGGACCCGCGUCGCAUUAGCUAGUUGGUGAGGUAACGGCUCACCAAGGCAACGAUGCGUAGCCGACCUGAGAGGGUGAUCGGCCACACUGGGACUGAGACACGGCCCAGACUCCUACGGGANGCAGCAGUAGGGAAUCUUCCGCAAUGGACGAAAGUCUGACGGAGCAACGCCGCGUGAGUGAUGAAGGCUUUCGGGUCGUAAAACUCUGUUGUUAGGGAAGAACAAGUGCUAGUUGAAUAAGCUGGCACCUUGACGGUACCUAACCAGAAAGCCACGGCUAACUACGUGCCAGCAGCCGCGGUAAUACGUAGGUGGCAAGCGUUAUCCGGAAUUAUUGGGCGUAAAGCGCGCGCAGGUGGUUUCUUAAGUCUGAUGUGAAAGCCCACGGCUCAACCGUGGAGGGUCAUUGGAAACUGGGAGACUUGAGUGCAGAAGAGGAAAGUGGAAUUCCAUGUGUAGCGGUGAAAUGCGUAGAGAUAUGGAGGAACACCAGUGGCGAAGGCGACUUUCUGGUCUGUAACUGACACUGAGGCGCGAAAGCGUGGGAGCAACCAGAUA